rnacentral:rRNA from 1 species
UAAGACGGAGGGUGCUAGCGUUGUUCGGAAUCAUUGGGCGUAAAGGGCGUGUAGGCGGAUCGUUAAGUCAUGCGUGAAAGCCCUCGGCUUAACCGAGGAAGGGCGUAUGAUACUGGCGACCUAGAGUUCGGAAGAGGGGGGUGGAAUUCCAGGUGUAGCGGUGAAAUGCGUAGAUAUCUGGAGGAACACCGGUGGCGAAGGCGACCCCCUGGUCCGACACUGACGCUGAGACGCGAAAGCGUGGGUAGCAAACAGGAUUAGAUACCCUGGUAGUCCACGCCGUAAACGAUGGGCACUAGGUGUCUGGGGUAUUGACCCCCUGGGUGCCGCAGCUAACGCAUUAAGUGCCCCGCCUGGGGAGUACGAUCGCAAGGUUA